rnacentral:rRNA from 1 species
UACGGGGGGAGCAAGCGUUGUUCGGAUUUACUGGGCGUAAAGGGCGCGUAGGCGGUCAGCACAAGUCAGUUGUGAAAUCUCCGGGCUUAACUCGGAAAGGUCAACUGAUACUGUGCGACUAGAGUGCAGAAGGGGCAACUGGAAUUCUCGGUGUAGCGGUGAAAUGCGUAGAUAUCGAGAGGAACACCAGUGGCGAAGGCGGCUUCCUGGACCUGAUCUGACACUGAGGAGCGAAAGCGUGGGGAGCGAUCCGG